AAAUGAAUAGACGGGGGCCCGCACAAGCGGUGGAGCAUGUGGUUUAAUUCGAUGCAACGCGAAGAACCUUACCAGGUCUUGACAUCCAACGAACCUUUACGAAAGUAGGGGGUGCCUUCGGGAGCGUUGAGACAGGUGGUGCAUGGUUGUCGUCAGCUCGUGUCGUGAGAUGUUGGGUUAAGUCCCGCAACGAGCGCAACCCUUGCUAUUAGUUGCUAACAUUUAAGGUGAGCACUCUAAUGGGACUGCCUGUGACAAGCAGGAGGAAGGUGGGGACGACGUCAAAUCAUCAUGCCCUUUAUGAUCUGGGCUACACACGUGCUACAAUGGAUGGUACAGAGAGCAGCGAGACCGCGAGGUGGAGCGAAUCUCAAAAAGCCAUUCUCAGUUCGGAUUGCAGUCUGCAACUCGACUGCAUGAAGUCGGAAUCGCUAGUAAUCGCGAAUCAGCAUGUCGCGGUGAAUGCGUUCCCGGGCCUUGUACACACCGCCCGU
rnacentral:rRNA from 1 species